GGCGGCRAGGGGGAGCAAUCCCCCCUAGAGCGGCGGACUGGUGAGUAACGCGUGGGCGACCUGCCCCGGGGAUGGGGACAGCCGUUGGAAACAGCGGGUAAUACCGAAUACGUCCGAUUGUAUACGUGCAGUUGGAGAAAGGGGCUUAGGCCCCGCCCCGGGAUGGGCCCGCGUCCCAUUAGCUAGUUGGUGUGGUAAGAGCGCACCAAGGCGAAGAUGGGUAGCCGGCCUGAGGGGGCGAACGGCCACACUGGGACUGAGAUACGGCCCAGACUCCUACGGGAGGCAGCAGCUAAGAAUAUUCCGCAAUGGACGAAAGUCUGACGGAGCGACGCCGCGUGGAUGACGAAGGCCGAAAGGUUGUAAAAUCCUUUUGCGGGCGAAGAAGAAGGUCUGGAGGGAAUGCCAGACCGGUGACGCCGGCCCGCGAAUAAGCUCCGGCUAAUUACGUGCCAGCAGCCGCGGUAACACGUAAGGGGCGAGCGUUGUUCGGAAUUAUUGGGCGUAAAGGGCGCGUAGGCGGCCGCGUAAGUCUGAUGUGAAAACCCCGGGCUCAACCCGGGAACUGCAUUGGAAACUGCGCGGCUUGAGUCACGKAGGGGAAGCCGGAAUUCCGGGUGUAGGGGUGAAAUCUGUAGAUAUCAGGAAGAACACCGAUGGCGAAGGCAGGCUUCCAGCCGAUGACUGACGCUGAGGCGCGAAAGUGCGGGGAGCAAACAGGAUUAGAUACCCUGGUAGUCCGCACUGUAAACGAUGCACMCUAGGCGUCGGGGCGAGCGUUCCGGUGCCGAAGCGAACGCGGUAAGUGUGCCKCCUGGGGAGUAUGCCCGCAAGGGUGAAMCUCAAAGGAAUUGACGGAAUCGAAUUCCCGCG
rnacentral:rRNA from 1 species